AGGACGAACGCUGGCGGCGUGCCUAACACAUGCAAGUGGAGCGACGAACCAGGCUUCGGCCUGGGGCAGAGCCGCGAACGGGUGAGUAACACGUGGGUAACCUGCCCUGAUGAUUGGGACAACCCGAGGAAACUCGGGCUAAUACCGAAUGUGCCCUCCGGCCUCAAGGCCGCUGGGGAAAGGAGCUUCGGCCUCCGCAUCGGGAUGGGCCCGCGGCCCAUUAGCUUGUUGGUGGGGUAAUGGCCUACCAAGGCGACGACGGGUA
rnacentral:rRNA from 1 species